CCUACGGGAGGCUGCAGUGGGGGAUAUUGGUCAAUGGCCGGAAGGCUGAACCAGCCAUGCCGCGUGAAGGUCAGUGCCCUAUGGGCGUUAAACUUCUUUUGUGCGGGAGCAAUAAUGGUCACGUGUGGCCAGACGAGAGUACCGUACGAAUAAGGAUCGGCUAACUCCGUGCCAGCAGCCGCGGUAAUACGGAGGAUCCGAGCGUUAUCCGGAUUUAGUGGGUUUAAAGGGAGCGUAGAUGGGUUGUUAAGUCAGUUGUGAAAGUUUGCGGCUCAACCGUAAAAUUGCAAUUGAUACUGGCAGCCUUGAGUACAGUUGAGGUAGGCGGAAUUCGUGGUGUAGCGGUGAAAUGCUUAGAUAUAACGAAGAACUCCGAUUGCGAAGGCAGCCUACUAAACUGCCACUGACAUUGAUGCUCGAAAGUGUGGGUAGCAAACAGGAUUAGAUACCCCAGUAGUC
rnacentral:rRNA from 1 species